UCGGGUGUGGUGUAUGGCGCACCACUGCUUCCUUUAACCGACCGGAGUCCAGUUUAAAUUUGAAGCAGAUGGACGGGGUUCGACUCCCCGUACCCGAA